UACGGAGGGAGCUAGCGUUGUUCGGAAUUACUGGGCGUAAAGCGCGCGUAGGCGGUUUUGUAAGCCAGAUGUGAAAUCCCCGGGCUUAACCUGGGAAUGGCAUUUGGGACUGCAAGGCUCGAGUGCGGCAGAGGAGACUGGAAUUCCUGGUGUAGCAGUGAAAUGCGUAGAUAUCAGGAGGAACACCGAUGGCGAAGGCAGGUCUCUGGGCUGACACUGACGCUCAUGCACGAAAGCGUGGGGAGCAAACAGG
rnacentral:rRNA from 1 species